GGGAUGGCCCGGCCCUGCUCUGCAGAGCCCCUCUGAUGGGGGGCUGAGGGUGGGGGUUGGAGGGUUCUCCUUUUGCACGCUCAGAUCCGCUCUGUGGAUGGGAGGGGUCACAUUGGGACGUGGGGGGGUGACUGACAGGAGGGGGGGGGUGUGGGGUGACAGAUGAGGGGACAGACAGAGGGGACGGGGUGACAUGUGGGGGACACACGGGGUGACACGCAGCGGGGGAUGAGGUGCCACACCGUGACACGUGGGGUGGCACACAGCAGGAGACGGGGGGACACACGCUGGGAAUGGGGGUGUCACACAGACACACAUGGGGUGACACACAGGGUGACGUGGGGUGACACGCAGUGUGGGGUGAGGUGACCCACGGGGUGACACACAGCGCACGGACAGACAGACGGGGUGACAAAUGGGGGACACACGGGAUGGGGCGGCACACACACACACAGGGGGGGACGGCGCAGGAUGGGGGUCACACACGGGGUGACACAGGUGACGGGGCGGGAUGGGCUGACGUGUAGGGUGACACAUGGGGGGACGUACAGCCGGGGGUGACACACGGGGUGACAUGUGGGGUGACACAGAGCUGGGGGUGACAUGUGGGGUGACACACAGGGUGACAUGUGGGGUGACACAGAGCUGGGGGUGACAUGUGGGGUGACACACAGGGUGACAUGUGGGGUGACACAUGAAGUAACAUGUGGGGUGACAUACAGCUGGGGGUGACACACAGGGUGACAUGUGGGGUGACACAGAGCUGGGGGUGACACAUGAAGUGACAUGUGGGGUGACAUACAGCUGGGGGUGACACGCAGGGUGACAUGUGGGGUGACACGGAGCUGGGGGCUGGGGUGACACACGGGUGACACAGGAGGUGACACACAGCUGGAGAUGACCCAGGAGGUGACAUGUGGGGUGACACAGACAGAGGUGCCACACGGGGUGCCCCGCGGUGCCGCAGGGCAGAGCGGGGGGCAGUCGAUGCCCCUUUGGUUUGAAGUGGGGGGGCUGUGGGGAAGCGCUUUGUUAUGUGGGGGGGGAACGGAGCGGGGGGGGUUCUGCACGGGGUGGGGAUGGGAGCGGAGUGGGGCAGAGCGCAGCUCCUGACCCACAGCUGUGUGCAGCUCCAGACCCACAGCCCCACAGCUCUGAGCAGCACUGAGAUCCAAGGACCCACAGCUGUGUGCAGCUCCUCGACCCACAGCCCCACAGCUUCUGGACCCGCAGCUCCGUGUGCAGCUCCUUGACCCACAGCUCCUCGACCCACAGCCCCACAGCUCCUGGACCCACCGCCCCACAGCCCAUCCCGGGACAGCCCUGAAGAUGCUCCAACAACUCCCAUCCACACCAACCGCCACCAGCAGAGCUCAGCGCUCCCACUUCCAGCCGUCGCAGCCCCACACGUCCCCUCGU
ensembl:lncRNA